rnacentral:rRNA from 1 species
UACGGAGGGGGCUAGCGUUGUUCGGAAUUACUGGGCGUAAAGCGCACGUAGGCGGCUUUGCAAGUUAGAGGUGAAAGCCCGGGGCUCAACUCCGGAACUGCCUUUAAGACUGCAUCGCUUGAAUCCAGGAGAGGUGAGUGGAAUUCCGAGUGUAGAGGUGAAAUUCGUAGAUAUUCGGAAGAACACCAGUGGCGAAGGCGGCUCACUGGACUGGUAUUGACGCUGAGGUGCGAAAGCGUGGGGAGCAAACAGG